rnacentral:lncRNA from 1 species
AUGCCGAGGCACCCUGACAGGUCACAGGUACGCGGGAGCGGAAGCUGCAGCCCAGAAACCGGAGGGUGCCAGUCGCACCCAUCCUUCAGGCCUCCUUCCCUCCCGGCCCCAGGAGCGCAGGCUCGGAGCUCGGCUCCCGCCCGCCGCUCGCCUUUGUCGCCGGCUCGGUGCGCGGCCGCGGGCUCCCGCGGCGGGCUUUGUUCGGGAGGAGCAGGCCAGGACCCCUCGCGCCGCCGCGUCCCCGCCCUCCCCGCGCCGAGGACGGUGGGGGUGGGGACUGCGCGACCGGGACCUGGACCCAAGGAGCGUCCGAGCGCGCCUCGGAGCCGGGAACUCGCUCCUUCGCCCCUUUUCGUAAUUGAGCUGUUGUCCGCUCGGCUAGGGGGCCGGGCUGAGCAGAAGGAGGGCGAGGGGGGUGCGCGUCCUCAGCCUGCAGCCCCGGCUGGGCGCGGCUCCCCGGGCGCCCGUGGACUCGUGCUGCCGCGUGCGCGCGUGCCAGGCUGGAUGGACGCACGCGCGCAUGGACGAGGCGGGCCGUCGGACUGGGUCCCAGGUCCUAGGCUGCUCUGGCCGAGGUUUUCGCAGCUGCAGUGUCUUUCAAAUCUUAAUCAGAGAACUUCAUUGUGAUCACAUUAUUCAGCACUUGAUGGAUGAAGGUGAAGACUCAGAGAAGAAAUGCUUUUAUGGAAAGAGAAUGUGGUAUUUUUACGUCGUAGAGCACCACUCUACCGUAAAGAUAAGCUUGAAGCAUCUGUAGAAAAACGGAUACACCUUGAGACCAUACUGGUAAGUGAAAUAACUCAGACACACAAGCCUAAAUAUUACAUAACUUCUCAGGUGAGAAAUCCAAGAUCUCAAUUAAAGAAUAAAACAAAUAUAGAUGACAGGAAACAGAGAUAGAGCUUUUAUAGUUGGAAGGGGGAGGAGGAAGAAGAGCAAAAGAAGACUAAAAAGGAAG